GGACGUGAGGGUGAUCUGGGUGCAACAUGUGUCACCCCAUUGAUCCCCUGGGUGACUGGAUGAUGUGGCUGGUUAGGCAGGUGUCCACUUCCUCCCUCACCACUCCAUAUGCAUCCCUUUAGAACCUCCAAACAAGCUCUCAAGGCCAAAUGACCAGCUUUAUUCAACAAAUGAAAUGAAAAAAAAAA
rnacentral:snRNA from 1 species